rnacentral:tRNA from 1 species
GGAUGUUUAGCUCAGCUGGUUAGAGCGCACCGUUCACAUCGGUGAGGUCGGUGGUUCGAGCCCACCAACAUCCACCA